UACGUAGGCAGCAAGCGUUGUUCGGAGUUACUGGGCGUAAAGAGUGCGUAGGCGGUCCUGUAAGUUUGGUGUGAAAUCUCCCGGCUCAACUGGGAGGGUGCGCCGAAGACUGCAGGGCUUGAGUAUGGGAGAGGUAAGCGGAAUUCCUGGUGUAGCGGUGAAAUGCGUAGAUAUCAGGAGGAACACCUGUGGUGUAGACAGCUUACUGGACCAUAACUGACGCUGAGGCACGAAAGCGUGGGUAGCAAACCGG
rnacentral:rRNA from 1 species